UACGGGGGGGGCAAGCGUUGUUCGGAAUUACUGGGCGUAAAGGGCUCGUAGGUGGCCAACUAAGUCAGACGUGAAAUCCCUCGGCUUAACCGGGGAACUGCGUCUGAUACUGGAUGGCUUGAGUUCGGGAGAGGGAUGCGGAAUUCCAGGUGUAGCGGUGAAAUGCGUAGAUAUCUGGAGGAAUCCCGGUGGCGAGGGCGGCAUCCUGGACGGGCAUUGCCGCUGAGUGAGCGAAAGCCAGGGGAGCAAACGGG
rnacentral:rRNA from 1 species